GGGAACUGGACAGCGUGUCGAAA
rnacentral:misc_RNA from 1 species